UACGAAGGGGGGCUAGCGUUGCUCGGAAUCACUGGGCGUAAAGGGUGCGUAGGCGGGUUUUUAAGUCAGGGGUGAAAUCCUGGAGCUCAACUCCAGAACUGCCUUUGAUACUGAAGAUCUUGAGUUCGGGAGAGGUGAGUGGAACUGCGAGUGUAGAGGUGAAAUUCGUAGAUAUUAGGAAGAACACCAGUGGCGAAGGCGGCUCACUGGUCCGGUACUGACGCUGAGGUGCGAAAGCGUGGGGAGCAAACAGG
rnacentral:rRNA from 1 species